AAAGAGCACCUUAUUAUUGUUUAGCAUUUCACCAAUUUGACAUUCAAAGUUAUUUGUAACCCGGUCACACGCUCAUAAAGAACAUAAAAUACUGUGUUUGGAAAAAGGAAAGAAAAGUUGUGAAGAAGUAAGAAAAUUGCGGUGGUGGUAAGUUCCUUUCUCAAGAGCUGCAUGGCCUGUUCAAACCAGUGUGGUGGUUUACUGGCUCAACAAUGAAACCACAAGAAAAACAAGACAGCAUUUAAAAUAACAGAUGUUAGAUACAUAACUACAGCAUUUUUAUUGUUAUGAAGACAAUAAUUAAUUAAUGUACUUCUUAUAGUCACAUAGAACUGCUUCUUACAGUGUCUGCAUUAGCAUUUUCCCUACUUCCCCCAUCUCUACCAUCAUCUUUACAUUGAUUAUCAUAGACAUAUAUAGUAAUAUUAACGUCUUCCGUAUUGUAAUUGGCUGUUAAUGUUGGCUGCAGUUUAAGCCGAUUGGCUGUGGUCAUCUGUUUAUCACACAGGAGGCAUAAAAAGGCAGCCACUCCCGUUUACCUUCUGAAAAUUAUCACAGCAAUAGAGAACGGUAAGUAAACCUUUAUUUUUUUCUAAACUUUAGAACUACUAGUUGUUUGGUAAAUACUAGAUUUGGUUUUUGUAUUGCACUUUCUUACAGUGAUUACGUUACAGUAAAUUUUAAUAUUCACAGGAGAUUAGUGAACAGUGAACAACAACAACAAAGCUCACCAAUCUUUCAAUCUUUAUCUGACAGAACAGACACAAUGAACAUCAUUCUCCUGACUUCCAUCAUCCUCAUUAUAGCCCCUGGUCAGAGUCAGGGGGGGGGGCUACAGUGGCGACAGCCUGACCAGCAACUUGGCCUCUAAGAAGUUAGGGCCCUGCCAGAAAAAGAGCAACGCUGAUGCUUAUAGUGAAUUUGCCAGAAGACACAUCGUCAGCAAUAGAUUUGAUAGAAAUUCCACGAAGAAAUGGGCAAACUAUUUGAAAGCGAAAGACCUCUGUGGCAGAACUCCAAUCCAGUCCUUCAUUGAACCCAAAUAUGAAAAAAAAAUCAAGCAGAUCUGCAAACGCUCAGGCUGGCGUCUAAAAGAAGAUAAUAAGGUCCCAGGUAACUUGUGUAUCAGCAAGACUAAAAUGUGGACGUAUGUCGUAGAGUCCAACAUGAAUACCAGUUGCAAUGUUACACAGGUAAAGAAUAACUCACAAUUUGUGGUUGUUGCGCGCAACAUGGUUAAAAAUGUCUGCCUCCCAGUCCACUACGAGAAAUACAACGAAAGGCAUGUGCCUAAUAAUAAAACCUGCCAACCUUAGAGUCACCAAAUGUGCAGGAGGGUCACCUGAUGCUCAAAUUUUAACCUACAGCUCAUUGACGAUUCAGGUUAUGUUUUUUACUUAGUUAAGUUUUGAUUCCAACUUUCUUUAUUGAUUCAAACUAAAUAAGCAAAAACAACAAGAAAGCUUUAUUAACACAAUUCUCCUUCACUUCUCAAUUCACAUUUAGAACCAUUUCAUCAGUGUAACAUGUGCAGUAUUAACACUGUACUGUAUGUUAAGAAUUUGAUUUCUAUUCGAUGUCAUUUAUUGUAAACCUAACACACUGUACUGCUUUUAUUUUAACGAAAUCGAUCCUGUUUAAACCCGCUAUGACGUUGAAUGCAAUGAGGAGAACUGUGGCAUAAUAAAACAUGCUCAUAUACAAAAAGAGCGUUUCCAUUGUUUUUUCUCCCCAUAUUUGUUGAACUACUGUGACUGUGUGGCGAGUGGCAAAUACUGUAUUGGUAAAUUACUUAUCACUAGACAUCAUGGUAAAACUCAAUCGCAAAGUUCAUUUCUGUGGGAAUGUGUCCUUUGCAUGUCACCAAAACAAAUUUGAAUUGAGCCUGCACACUUAAAAAAAUAUAUAAAAGGUUUAAAAAUACUUUUGGGCACUUUUCUGACCUACCAGUUCAUGAAUUCAACACACAAAGUAAAAAUUCUUGUAGACUCCCCAUAAUAAGAUGCUGUACUAUAUACAUCACUCAGUAGUUCUUAAUAUUCAUUUGUUGUACUGUACACUACUGUACUGCUAAGUACUUGUGCAUAUUAUAUAGGUUCUUUGGUUUUUUAUUUUAUGAUUUAUUUCAUUUUAAAUCUUUAGAGUGAGAGUUUAUCUUCUAUUUUAAUGUUUUUUUUUAUUUUUAGCUUUUUAUGAGAGUAUGUUGCUUUGUUGUCUUGUGUGUUAUGUCUCUCAUCAUUGUAGCACUGUGAUCCUAAAAGAACGUUGUUUCAGUUCACUCUAUACUAUGAUUUUUCCAUUCAAAUGAAAAUAAAAUCCUUGAACCUUUAAUAAUAAACAAUAGACAGUAAUACAUAAAACACAAACUGUUCUUUUUCUUCUUGCCACGUGUAGUCUCCUGUAAGAAGAGGAAUGUUCCUGUGGUGCCAAUUUUAAUCAAAGCCAUUUUAAUAAUUAGAAUAAAUUGUAAUGAAUAUGUAGUACAGUAGUGUUUUGAAAUGCGUUUGAAGGAAUUUAAACCAACUGUGAUAAUAAUAAGUCAAACUUUAUUUACUUUCUCUAAACUGACACUCACUGUUUUCAUUUCAACAAUUACAACAAUUAAACAAUAAAAAAAAAUUAAAGUGGUGCAAAAAUAAGAAAACUGUGGUGGCUGCACAUGAGUAAGUUCCUUUCUCAAGAUCAGCACGGCCUGUUUAAACCAGUCUGGUGGUUUACACCAUUACCAGUGAAACCGAAACAAAAAUAGAUAAC